rnacentral:scRNA from 1 species
GCCGAGCUUAGUAACAUGGGCUUGUAACCCAAGCGGGGGCAUUAGUAUGGUGGAAUGUUGGGCUGUUCCAGAUGGUUGGGCCUGGUGGGCUAAUUUCUGGCAUGC